rnacentral:sRNA from 1 species
GCGUCAGCGAGAGAGCGUUGCCGCAGGCAACGACCCGAAGGGCGAAGCGCGCAGCGCUGAGUAAUCCUUCCCCCACCACCA